rfam:Dipodomys ordii contig_25821, whole genome shotgun sequence.
CGGAAUAUGACUUAGUGGUAGAGUGCUUGCCUAGCAUGCAUGAAGCCCUGGGUUCCAUUCCUCAGUACCACGU